rnacentral:lncRNA from 1 species
UUUCCACAAACAUUCCUUCCUGACCUUCCUUGUAAUCAUUAAGUGCAGCUUUCAACUGUCAUGCUAUUCAGUCUUUCCCACGUUUAUUGAUCUAUUGUCUCCUUUCUAAAUUCCUUUAUUGACCUUGAUUAUUUAUAUCUCUUUUUCCCCAUUACACUGUGAGCUCUCACAAAGAGAGAUCAAGAUCUCUACUCAGAUGUUCAAUAUAUGUCAGUUGAAUUGAACUAAACAUCAGGCAUUUAUGUAAUAAAGUUGACAAGUUAUUCUCAAAUCACACACAAACUAAGCUAUGUUAUUUAAUUCAGGGUCAGCAAACAAGUCUCAAGUCAAGGCUGAUGCUCUUUGAAUAGCAGACAAAUUGAGUAUUGCAAUGAGAAGCAUCUCCAAGUCCAGCAGAAUUCUAGUAGACACAGCAAACUCAGUUACUUCUAUAGACUUUAUGUGCGGAGUUGAGGAUGGUUGAUCUGCAUGGAGGAAUUACUGAAGGUUGGGCACAACCUGAUAUUUUGGGGUUGUUAGCUCAUAUUUGUCCUAU